rnacentral:rRNA from 1 species
AGCGAACGCUGGCGGCAGGCUUAACACAUGCAAGUCGAGCGGGCAUCUUCGGAUGUCAGCGGCAGACGGGUGAGUAACACGUGGGAACGUACCCUUCGGUUCGGAACAACUCUGGGAAACUGGAGCUAAUACCGGAUACGCCCUUAUGGGGAAAGGUUUACUGCCGAAGGAUCGGCCCGCGUCUGAUUAGCUAGUUGGUGGGGUAACGGCCUACCAAGGCGACGAUCAGUAGCUGGUCUGAGAGGAUGAUCAGCCACACUGGGACUGAGACGCGGCCCAGACUCCUACGGGAGGCAGCAGUGGGGAAUAUUGGACAAUGGGCGCAAGCCUGAUCCAGCCAUGCCGCGUGAGUGAUGAAGGCCUUAGGGUUGUAAAGCUCUUUUGUCCGGGACGAUAAUGACGGUACCGGAAGAAUAAGCCCCGGCUAACUUCGU